UACGGAGGGGGCUAGCGUUGUUCGGAAUUACUGGGCGUAAAGGGUGCGUAGGCGGUUCGUUAAGUCUGUCGUGAAAUCCCCGGGCUCAACCUGGGAAUGGCGAUGGAUACUGGCGAGCUAGAGUGUGUCAGAGGAUGGUGGAAUUCCCGGUGUAGCGGUGAAAUGCGUAGAGAUCGGGAGGAACAUCAGUGGCGAAGGCGGCCAUCUGGGACAACACUGACGCUGAAGCACGAAAGCGUGGGGAGCAAACAGG
rnacentral:rRNA from 1 species